rnacentral:rRNA from 1 species
CCAUGCAUGUCUAAGUAUAAGCAAUUAUACAGCGAAACUGCGAAUGGCUCAUUAUAUAAGUUAUCGUUUAUUUGAUAGUACCUUACUACUUGGAUAACCGUGGUAAUUCUAGAGCUAAUACAUGCUAAAAAUCCCGACUCCGGAAGGGAUGUAUUUAUUAGAUUAAAAACCAAUGCCCUCUGGGCUCCUUGGUGAUUCAUGAUAACUUUUCGAAUCGCACGGCCUUGCGCCGGCGAUGGUUCAUUCAAAUUUCUUCCCUAUCAACUUUCGAUGUUUGGGUAUUGGCCAAACAUGGUCGCAACGGGUAACGGAGGGUUAGGGCUCGACCCCGGAGAAGGAGCCUGAGAAACGGCUACUACAUCCAAGGAAGGCAGCAGGCGCGCAAAUUACCCAAUCCCGAUUCGGGGAGGUAGUGACAAUAAAUACUGAUACAGGGCUCUUUUGGGUCUUGUAAUUGGAAUGAGUACAAUUUAAAUCCCUUAACGAGGAACAAUUGGAGGGCAAGUCUGGUGCCAGCAGCCGCGGUAAUUCCAGCUCCAAUAGCGUAUAUUAAAGUUGUUGUGGUUAAAAAGCUCGUAGUUGAACCUUGGGCCUGGCUGGCCGGUCCGCCUCACCGCGUGUACUGGUCCGGCCGGGCCUUUCCCUCUGUGGAACCUCAUGCCCUUCACUGGGUGUGGCGGGGAAACAGGACUUUUACUUUGAAAAAAUUAGAGUGCUCCAGGCAGGCCUAUGCUCGAAUACAUUAGCAUGGAAUAAUAAAAUAGGACGUGUGGUUCUAUUUUGUUGGUUUCUAGGACCGCCGUAAUGAUUAAUAGGGACAGUCGGGGGCAUCAGUAUUCAAUUGUCAGAGGUGAAAUUCUUGGAUUUAUUGAAGACUAACUACUGCGAAAGCAUUUGCCAAGGAUGUUUUCAUUAAUCAGGAACGAAAGUUAGGGGAUCGAAGACGAUCAGAUACCGUCGUAGUCUUAACCAUAAACUAUGCCGACUAGGGAUCGGACGAUGUUAUUUUUUGACGCGUUCGGCACCUUACGAGAAAUCAAAGUGCUUGGGCUCCAGGGGGAAUAUGGUCGCA